GGCUGAGAAUGAAAUUGACAUGAAACAGAUAAACAGGAGAAAAUGAAACAAAAGUCGAAUACAUGUGUCCAUGGGAGAGACCCAGGAAAACUGAGUAACUCACCAAAAUGUUAGCUGAAGCCCUCUCCUUAAACACCAUCUCCAGCUGAAGACAAAAGAGAACGUUGGAGAUGACAUGCUUUGUGGCUCAGAGAUCCCAGGAACAGGGUAAAGAUGCGGCUUCUGAAAUUCGACCCAGCCUGUUUCCUGUGGGUGGGCGGAUGGCCUGUUCCACAUGAUGCGCUGCUUGAAAGAACUGCUAUGAAUUACCGCAUUCUGCUUCGCAUCUAUAAAUUCACACAGGAAAAAAAUGAAGCGUAGAGCGCUCAGAACAGUGACCUGUUUGCCCUGCCUUGCCAGCUAGUGACAGCAUCUUACUCACUGGACACUUAUUAUUCAUCACCAGAGCCGGAGAGUGUGCAGUCUGACAUCUAUCACUCGGUGUCUGUGCUGCAAGCAGCUAGGAGCGUCUUCUGGAAACACAGCCUGUGGGUUUGAUUCUGGCUCACCCUGUGCUGGGGAACUUUCCUUCCUUGGCUGUAGACGAUCUAGAUGUAAACCAGUAGCGUGCUCCUGUGACAUAGCCAGCCUCCUGACACUUGAGUCUCACCACCUCCCUCCCAUUGCUCAAAACUGCCACCACUUAGAGCCACUUCAUCCAGCUAACCCCUACUCAUUUUAUAGGGCUCAGCUUAGGCACCAUUUUCUCCAUGAAGCCUUUCCGGAUGCCCCAGUGAGGAGAGGUGACCUGUCACAUGCUCCCGUGGAGGAGAACACGGGGUUCACGUUCCGUAUGAUGUCCCCAGCACCCACCGUUCCUGCUGGGUAAUCUCUGUAAGUGCAGGAGUUGGUUGGUCUUGUUUUCUGGGACAUCUUGGCGGAGAGUAGAUAUUUACUGAAUGUUGGUUAAAUGAUGAAAUAAAGUUUGCU